UGGGUGGACGGAAGCAACCUCUGUUGCUGACUCUACUGAAUGUUAUGGAGAGAUCGCAGGGCUGAGGGCACUCUGAAGGCUUGCCAGCUCAGCAAUGCCAGCCCUUGUCAUCGGCAGUCCUGGCCAGGACAGAAAGAGACAUCCUUCUUUUAUUUGAUAUUACACAGCCAAGCUUUACAUCUCUGUAUGCUACACGAGAGGUUCUGUCUUUCUGAUUUUGAUUCCUUUAAUUGCCGGCAUCCUGGGGUCACUUUGGAAGCACUCUCCUGUAAAAGGUUCCAUCAUCUAGUUGAAAAGCUGCACCUGCUAGUCUAUGGCAAUCUGUUCUGAAAUAUCCCUGAUUCAUGAAUAUAAAGAUUUAUGCAAAAGUAAAUAAAACGGCUGCUACGCAAGAAAAGAAAAAAAAUCUAGUAGGAUUCAGCCGCUCUGAAAGAAUUUAGUGUGACAUUCCGCAGAAGGAAAGAUUAAACUAACAUGUGCCAGUCAAUAUUAGUAUACUAUGACCCUUGAUGUCUCCUAAGCAAAACUAUUAAGUCCAACAUUUUCUCCUGUAGGCACUUAUCUAUACGGAUGGCUUACAUGUCUGCUGAAGCAGAUAUUGAAACUGAUUGGACAAUAGGUAGAUACUAGACAGGGGUCUGGGGGGCGACCUCUAGAAAUAGGGGUAGAAAAUCUUAAUCUGCAACACAAUGAAGCUCUCUUGAAACCCUAUCAUUUUCACUUCCCAUGUGUCUGCUGCCUGGCGGAGAAUAGAUUUGAAAAGGAAUGGUUAGUGCUGAAAAUUGGAUCAGUGCUAACAUUCUCUCAUUUUUAUCAGCAGCUGCCAAAGGUCAUCUGACAUAAUAGCUGAUGAAUUCAAACCCAGUGGAUUUCAUUUGCAAUUUUCAAUUUACUGAGGCCUCCAAGCCCAACAGUGAUAAGAGCUUCCCCUAUCGUGGCCUGUCACAAACAUCAAGAAAGCUGCACAAGCCCCCACAAGAAAGAAUGGAAAAGACUGUGCAUCAUCACAGCUACAGAUAAGAGGGAUUGGGAGAGAACAGUAUCAUGCAGGAAGGUGUAGAGUGGCACGUGGGGUUCAAUCUUUAAAUGCCAACUGGAAUGAAAGGACUACGAGGAUGCAAUCAAAUACACUAACAGAAUAACAUCACUGUUUUGGCUGCUCAACGAAAUACAUUUUUUUAUGUCUCGCUAUACAUCAGAAAAUAGGCAAUAGAAGUGGAAAUAAUAGUUUGACAGGAAAAUGAAUGGCGUGUAAGUAGUAAUGAUUGAGGCACAUUUAAAUAAUCUGUCACUUUCUUUUAUCAGGGUAAUUUUCAGGGUAUGACAAAUUUUAUACCAUUUUAAAAUAUAUUUUCUUCCAUAAGGGGGUGAGAUUUGGAGAAUAGGCUUCCACUAGCUUGAUGUAUGUAAAAUAAAUAAAUCGCUCUCAUUUCUUCAUGCCUCUUACACCCCCCCCCCCCCUUAAAAGAUCACUCUGCCUCUCAGUCUAUUUGCAUUGUCUCAUGAAUUAUACAUGUUUUGCUUUCAUCCGUCAGUUACAUUUCACAGAGAUGAACUGACCUAUAGGGGAUAGGAUAGUUACAAAGACGUCUAGUAAUUAAACUGUCCUGACCUUAAACUUGGUAAAUCAGUGCAAGGAAAUGCAGCUAUAUUAGUCUGUUAGUAAAGACAAGUAUCUGACAUAACUAAGUAAUAAGACUACUGUACAUCACUAGUCUAGAAAGCAAUAACUAAAAGCUCAAGGCGUUUUUAUUCUAUAGUUAGUUUGCCUGUUUGUUAAGACACAAAGUUAAACAUUUAUUUGGUAAGGAUUUCAACUUCUCAGAAGUUAUCACAGUGCACCAGACCACAGCAUUCAUUCAUCCCUUUAGACUGUAAGUUCUCACAAGUAGGGCUCUCUCCCCUUAUAUGCUUUUCCUUCCCUCACUUUUACCAUUAUCUCCUCCCUACUGCCCACAAUGGCACCUAACCAUUGGGUUCUGUUGUCCUGCUGCUAAUUUGAGUGUAAUUAUGUCUACUGAUGCAGGUAUGUUUAUAAACCCUGCCCUGCAAUGUUCUGUACUGUAGUAGCCCCUAUACAUCACAGGUGUAUUUGGGCAAUGUCUUGAUCACCUGAUGGCCGGGCCAGGGAGUCGGGAAUAUUAAACAUGUGAAAAUCCAGAUUCCCCGAUCCUGACCAUUUUCAGUUGGGAUCGUUGAAUCAGGCAUUUUUAACAUGUUCAACUUCCCAGAUUUCUGGAUGGAUCACCGGUCAUCACUCUCCGCUGAUCAGUGGAUCUAGUCGGCAGGUCGGGGAAUCGUAGCUGCUGAUGUAUGGGGGCUAUAAGUCACUUUCCUGCUUGUUUUGUCCAUACUGUUUCUAUUUUUGUACUUUGUGAGGCGCACAAGACCUCUUGUGGCCACAUGUAAAUAAAGGAUAUCACUAUGGUAAUAAUAAUAAUAAUAAUAAUAAUUAAUUAUUAUUAUUAUUAUUAUUAUUAUUAUAUCAUUGUUUUUGUCCUUGUUCUCAAAUCCGCUCAUCACUUCCCAAAAAGUUUGCUGUUAAUCUUAUGCUUAUAUAAAAGUCCUGUAUGGAUGCAACAGCUUGGCUAUGUCUAUGGGCCUAAUGCAGACCUGAUCGC